UAAUUCUGUGUUUGUUCUUUUUGAUUGUUAAAAGCUGUACAGUAUACAAGUCAUUCAUAAGUGGGAGUGUUGACAUAUGUGUAUGCUUGACUGAAUGUAUUCUGUACACGGUUUUCCUGUUCCUCUCCACAAGAGGGUGCUAUUGGGUUUUUUUUAUA